rnacentral:rRNA from 1 species
ACGAACGCUGGCGGCGUGGAUAAGACAUGCAAGUCGAACGAGAGAAUUGCUAGCUUGCUAAUAAUUCUCUAGUGGCGCACGGGUGAGUAACACGUGAGUAACCUGCCCCCGAGAGCGGGAUAGCCCUGGGAAACUGGGAUUAAUACCGCAUAGUAUCGAAAGAUUAAAGCAGCAAUGCGCUUGGGGAUGGGCUCGCGGCCUAUUAGUUAGUUGGUGAGGUAACGGCUCACCAAGGCGAUGACGGGUAGCCGGUCUGAGAGGAUGUCCGGCCACACUGGAACUGAGACACGGUCCAGACACCUACGGGUGGCAGCAGUCGAAAAUCAUUCACAAUGGGGGAAACCCUGAUGGUGUGACGCCGCGUGGGGGAAUGAAGGUCUUCGGAUUGUAAACCCCUGUCAUGUGGGAGCAAAUUAAAAAGAUAGUACCACAAGAGGAAGAGACGGCUAACUCUGUGCCAGCAGCCGCGGUAAUACAGAGGUCUCAAGCGUUGUUCGGAAUCACUGGGCGUAAAGCGUGCGUAGGCUGUUUCGUAAGUCGUGUGUGAAAGGCGCGGGCUCAACCCGCGGACGGCACAUGAUACUGCGAGACUAGAGUAAUGGAGGGGGAACCGGAAUUCUCGGUGUAGCAGUGAAAUGCGUAGAUAUCGAGAGGAACACUCGUGGCGAAGGCGGGUUCCUGGACAUUAACUGACGCUGAGGCACGAAGGCCAGGGGAGCGAAAGGGAUUAGAUACCCCUGUAGUCCUGGCAGUAAACGGUGCACGCUUGGUGUGCGGGGAAUCGACCCCCUGCGUGCCGGAGCUAACGCGUUAAGCGUGCCGCCUGGGGAGUACGGUCGCAAGAUUAAAACUCAAAGAAAUUGACGGGGACCCGCACAAGCGGUGGAGUAUGUGGCUUAAUUCGAUGCAACGCGAAGAACCUUACCUGGGCUUGACAUGUAAUGAACAACAUGUGAAAGCAUGCGACUCUUCGGAGGCGUUACACAGGUGCUGCAUGGCCGUCGUCAGCUCGUGUCGUGAGAUGUUUGGUUAAGUCCAGCAACGAGCGCAACCCCUGUUGCCAGUUACCAGCACGUGAAGGUGGGGACUCUGGCGAGACUGCCCAGAUCAACUGGGAGGAAGGUGGGGACGACGUCAGGUCAGUAUGGCCCUUAUGCCCAGGGCUGCACACGUACUACAAUGCCCAGUACAGAGGGGGCCGAAGCCGCGAGGCGGAGGAAAUCCUGAAAACUGGGCCCAGUUCGGACUGUAGGCUGCAACCCGCCUACACGAAGCCGGAAUCGCUAGUAAUGGCGCAUCAGCUACGGCGCCGUGAAUACGUUCCCGGGUCUUGUACACACCGCCCGUCACAUCAUGGAAGCCGGUCGCACCCGAAGUAUCUGAAGCCAACCGCAAGGAGGCAGGGUCCUAAGGUGAGACUGGUAACUGGGAUG